rnacentral:rRNA from 2 species
UUAAGCGACUAAGCGUACACGGUGGAUGCCCUGGCAGUCAGAGGCGAUGAAGGACGUGCUAAUCUGCGAUAAGCGUCGGUGAGGUGAUAUGAAUCGUUAUAACCGGCGAUUUCCGAAUGGGGAAACCCAGUGUGUUUCGACACACUAUCAUUAACUGAAUCCAUAGGUUAAUGAGGCGAACCGGGGGAACUGAAACAUCUAAGUACCCCGAGGAAAAGAAAUCAACCGAGAUUCCCCCAGUAGCGGCGAGCGAACGGGGAGGAGCCCAGAGCCUGAAUCAGUGUGUGUGUUAGUGGAAGCGUCUGGAAAGGCGUGCGAUACAGGGUGACAGCCCCGUACACAAAAAUGCACAUAUUGUGAGCUCGAUGAGUAGGGCGGGACACGUGGUAUCCUGUCUGAAUAUGGGGGGACCAUCCUCCAAGGCUAAAUACUCCUGACUGACCGAUAGUGAACCAGUACCGUGAGGGAAAGGCGAAAAGAACCCCGGCGAGGGGAGUGAAAAAGAACCUGAAACCGUGUACGUACAAGCAGUGGGAGCCUCUUAAUGGGGUGACUGCGUACCUUUUGUAUAAUGGGUCAGCGACUUAUAUUCUGUAGCAAGGUUAACCGAAUAGGGGAGCCGAAGGGAAACCGAGUCUUAACUGGGCGUUAAGUUGCAGGGUAUAGACCCGAAACCCGGUGAUCUAGCCAUGGGCAGGUUGAAGGUUGGGUAACACUAACUGGAGGACCGAACCGACUAAUGUUGAAAAAUUAGCGGAUGACUUGUGGCUGGGGGUGAAAGGCCAAUCAAACCGGGAGAUAGCUGGUUCUCCCCGAAAGCUAUUUAGGUAGCGCCUCGUGAAUUCAUCUCCGGGGGUAGAGCACUGUUUCGGCAAGGGGGUCAUCCCGACUUACCAACCCGAUGCAAACUGCGAAUACCGGAGAAUGUUAUCACGGGAGACACACGGCGGGUGCUAACGUCCGUCGUGAAGAGGGAAACAACCCAGACCGCCAGCUAAGGUCCCAAAGUCAUGGUUAAGUGGGAAACGAUGUGGGAAGGCCCAGACAGCCAGGAUGUUGGCUUAGAAGCAGCCAUCAUUUAAAGAAAGCGUAAUAGCUCACUGGUCGAGUCGGCCUGCGCGGAAGAUGUAACGGGGCUAAACCAUGCACCGAAGCUGCGGCAGCGACACUAUGUGUUGUUGGGUAGGGGAGCGUUCUGUAAGCCUGUGAAGGUGGCCUGUGAGGGUUGCUGGAGGUAUCAGAAGUGCGAAUGCUGACAUAAGUAACGAUAAAGCGGGUGAAAAGCCCGCUCGCCGGAAGACCAAGGGUUCCUGUCCAACGUUAAUCGGGGCAGGGUGAGUCGACCCCUAAGGCGAGGCCGAAAGGCGUAGUCGAUGGGAAACAGGUUAAUAUUCCUGUACUUGGUGUUACUGCGAAGGGGGGACGGAGAAGGCUAUGUUGGCCGGGCGACGGUUGUCCCGGUUUAAGCGUGUAGGCUGGUUUUCCAGGCAAAUCCGGAAAACCAAGGCUGAGGCGUGAUGACGAGGCACUACGGUGCUGAAGCGACAAAUGCCCUGCUUCCAGGAAAAGCCUCUAAGCAUCAGGUAACAUCAAAUCGUACCCCAAACCGACACAGGUGGUCAGGUAGAGAAUACCAAGGCGCUUGAGAGAACUCGGGUGAAGGAACUAGGCAAAAUGGUGCCGUAACUUCGGGAGAAGGCACGCUGAUAUGUAGGUGAAGCGACUUGCUCGUGGAGCUGAAAUCAGUCGAAGAUACCAGCUGGCUGCAACUGUUUAUUAAAAACACAGCACUGUGCAAACACGAAAGUGGACGUAUACGGUGUGACGCCUGCCCGGUGCCGGAAGGUUAAUUGAUGGGGUUAGCGGUAACGCGAAGCUCUUGAUCGAAGCCCCGGUAAACGGCGGCCGUAACUAUAACGGUCCUAAGGUAGCGAAAUUCCUUGUCGGGUAAGUUCCGACCUGCACGAAUGGCGUAAUGAUGGCCAGGCUGUCUCCACCCGAGACUCAGUGAAAUUGAACUCGCUGUGAAGAUGCAGUGUACCCGCGGCAAGACGGAAAGACCCCGUGAACCUUUACUAUAGCUUGACACUGAACAUUGAGCCUUGAUGUGUAGGAUAGGUGGGAGGCUUUGAAGUGUGGACGCCAGUCUGCAUGGAGCCGACCUUGAAAUACCACCCUUUAAUGUUUGAUGUUCUAACGUGGGCCCCUAAUCGGGGUUGCGGACAGUGUCUGGUGGGUAGUUUGACUGGGGCGGUCUCCUCCUAAAGAGUAACGGAGGAGCACGAAGGUUGGCUAAUCCUGGUCGGACAUCAGGAGGUUAGUGCAAUGGCAUAAGCCAGCUUGACUGCGAGCGUGACGGCGCGAGCAGGUGCGAAAGCAGGUCAUAGUGAUCCGGUGGUUCUGAAUGGAAGGGCCAUCGCUCAACGGAUAAAAGGUACUCCGGGGAUAACAGGCUGAUACCGCCCAAGAGUUCAUAUCGACGGCGGUGUUUGGCACCUCGAUGUCGGCUCAUCACAUCCUGGGGCUGAAGUAGGUCCCAAGGGUAUGGCUGUUCGCCAUUUAAAGUGGUACGCGAGCUGGGUUUAGAACGUCGUGAGACAGUUCGGUCCCUAUCUGCCGUGGGCGCUGGAGAACUGAGGGGGGCUGCUCCUAGUACGAGAGGACCGGAGUGGACGCAUCACUGGUGUUCGGGUUGUCAUGCCAAUGGCACUGCCCGGUAGCUAAAUGCGGAAGAGAUAAGUGCUGAAAGCAUCUAAGCACGAAACUUGCCCCGAGAUGAGUUCUCCCUGAGACUUAGAGUCUCCUGAAGGAACGUUGAAGACGACGACGUUGAUAGGCCGGGUGUGUAAGCGCAGCGAUGCGUUGAGCUAACCGGUACUAAUGAACCGUGAGGCUUAACCUU